UGGGGAAUUUUGGACAAUGGGCGAAAGCCUGAUCCAGCCAUGCCGCGUGAGUGAAGAAGGCCUUCGGGUUGUAAAGCUCUUUCGGUCGAGAAGAAAUGUCUAUGACUAAUACUUAUAGAAAAUGACGGUAUCGACAUAAGAAGCACCGGCUAACUACGUGCCAGCAGCCGCGGUAAUACGUAGGGUGCAAGCGUUAAUCGGAAUUAUUGGGCGUAAAGGGUGCGCAGGCUGUGUUGUAAGUCAGAUGUGAAAUCCCCGGGCUUAACCUGGGAAUUGCGUUUGAAACUGCAAUGCUAGAGUGUGAUAGAGGAGAGUGGAAUUCCAUGUGUAGCAGUGAAAUGCGUAGAGAUGUGGAAGAACACCAAUGGCGAAGGCAGCUCUCUGGAUUAACACUGACGCUCAUGCACGAAAGCGUGGGGAGCAAACAGG
rnacentral:rRNA from 1 species